GCUCCCAUAGAUUACUGGUAAAUCGCCUUGAUAUCAUAUAGCAGAUGCUGACAUUGUCGAGAAGUCGGGGGUUCGAAUCCUCCUGGGGGCA